rnacentral:SRP_RNA from 1 species
GCUGGGCGUGGUGGCUCAUGCCUGUAAUCCCAGCACUUUAGGAGGCCGAGGUGGGCGGAUCACCUGAGGUCAGGAGUUCGAGACCAGCCUGGCCAACAUGGUGAAACCCCAUCUCUA